UCUUUCGCUCUCUCUCUCUCUCUCUCUGACCACUCCCGCAAGAAUCGUUGACCGCGUGCGGUCAUUGCUGCUGCUGCUGCAAUUAAUUAAUUGAUUAAAGUGCUCAAAACCAAUCCAAUUGCAACGAAAUUUGUGUGAAAAUGUGGGCAAAUGUCUGGCCGGUCGAGUAGUGUAAUUAGUUUUGUGCAAAGUCGGCGUUAAAUAUGCAUAAAAUGUGUGUUUUAAUUGCGAAUUGCACAAUAUGCGUUGCCAGCAUUCAAACGCUGCUGGAAGGACAUAUAAUGAAGCUCAUUGCUAGAAUACUUGCCACACUCUUCAGUCAUACCCUCUACGAAGGGUAUAAUAAACCCAUUGUGUGAAUUGCACGGAGUGCUGUGCGGGCUGCGGUGUGUGGCCAUUGUAAGGCCUCCUGGGCCUCCUCACUAGGCCUGGAAAUUAGCAUACAAACUGUCUGGCAGAAAAUCCACCCAUUGAGCGAGGGAACGGGAACCGACUCGAACCAGUUUUUGUCUCUGGAAAUCAUUGCUGUUGUCAGUUCUUGUUCGCCUGCCUGCCCGUGACGUGGCAACACUGACAGGACAACUUUGACAGCCCAGAGACAGCGAGGACUAAGCUUCUGCUAAUGUCAACAGCAAACAGUUCAAAUUGUGCAAAAAAAAAAUAAAAUAAAAAUAAGAACGAAAGACAAACAAAAAGAUAAAUGUGGGAAAGAAAUGUGCGAAAAGAAAGCGACUAGAAAUUCGAAGAACUAAUUGAGCGUGUCUCAUGAGGUUUCAGCACUUGAAACGAAGAAGCGAAGCGGCAACCGGCUGCUCGACUACCGACUACCGAGAACUCAAUUUACUUUUUCAUUAAAGCGAAAGACGACGCUGGCGAUGAAGAGGUUGAGCGAAUGGAUGGAUGGACGGAUGGUUGGAUGGAGGGAUGGUUGGAUGCGGAGAUGCGGUGGAGAGCACUUGAAUGCAGCUCCAAUUAUGGAGAGAAACUCGUGACGUCAGUUGGCGGCUCAUAAUGAAAACAUUUAACCUGUCGUCGUCAGUGAUUCGAUUCGAUUCGAACAACAUGAAAAUCAUUCCUCCUUCAGAGCAAAAGAAAAAGA